GAUGAAGAACGUAGCGAAAUGCGAUACUUGGUGUGAAUUGCAGAAUCCCGUGAACCAUCGAGUCUUUGAACGCAAGUUGCGCCCGAAGCCAUUAGGCCGAGGGCACGCCUGCCUGGGCGUCACACGUCGUUGCCCCCCCAUCUACUCCUUCGGGAUUGCGGGGGGCGGAUGAUGGCCUCCCGUGCGCCUCGUCGCGCGGUUGGCAUAAAUGCCAAGUCCUCGGCGACGCACGCCACGACAAUCGGUGGUUGCGAAACCUCGGUUGCCCGUCGUGUGCGGUCGUCGCGCAUCGAGGGCUCGAAAAAAUUGCCGGGCUCCGGCUCGACUUUCAACGCGACCCCAGGUCAGGCGGGGUUACCCGCUGAAUUUAAGCAUAUCAAAAGCGGAGGA
rnacentral:misc_RNA from 1 species